rnacentral:rRNA from 1 species
GCUGGAUGCUGACGAGCGGCGGACGGGUGAGUAAUGCAUAGGAAUCUGCCCGAUAGUGGGGGAUAACCUGGGGAAACCCAGGCUAAUACCGCAUACGUCCUACGGGAGAAAGGGGGCUCCGGCUCCCGCUAUGGGAUGAGCCUAUGUCGGAUUAGCUAGUUGGUGAGGUAACGGCUCACCAAGGCCACGAUCCGUAGCUGGUCUGAGAGGAUGAUCAGCCACAUCGGGACUGAGACACGGCCCGAACUCCUACGGGAGGCAGCAGUGGGGAAUAUUGGACAAUGGGGGCAACCCUGAUCCAGCCAUGCCGCGUGUGUGAAGAAGGCCCUCGGGUUGUAAAGCACUUUCAGCGAGGAAGAACGCCUAGCGGUUAAUACCCGCUAGGAAAGACAUCACUCGCAGAAGAAGCACCGGCUAACUCCGUGCCAGCAGCCGCGGUAAUACGGAGGGUGCAAGCGUUAAUCGGAAUUACUGGGCGUAAAGCGCGCGUAGGUGGCUUGAUAAGCCGGUUGUGAAAGCCCCGGGCUCAACCUGGGAACGGCAUCCGGAACUGUCAAGCUAGAGUGCAGGAGAGGAAGGUAGAAUUCCCGGUGUAGCGGUGAAAUGCGUAGAGAUCGGGAGGAAUACCAGUGGCGAAGGCGGCCUUCUGGAACUGACACUGACACUGAGGUGCGAAAGCGUGGUAGCAAACAGGAUUAGAUACCCUGCUAGUCCACGCCGUAACGAUGUCGACCAGCCGUUGGGUGCCUAGCGCACUUUG